rnacentral:rRNA from 1 species
ACGUAGCAAUACCGAUGGUGGCGACCGGCGCACGGGUGAGUAACACGUAUGCAACCUACCUUCAACAGGAGAAUAACCCGUCGAAAGACGGACUAAUACUCCAUAAUACAGGGAUCCCGCAUGGGAAUAUUUGUUAAAGAUUUAUUGGUUGAAGAUGGGCAUGCGCUCCAUUAGCUAGUUGGUGAGGUAACGGCUCACCAAGGCAACGAUGGAUAGGGGAACUGAGAGGUUUAUCCCCCACACUGGUACUGAGACACGGACCAGACUCCUACGGGAGGCAGCAGUGAGGAAUAUUGGUCAAUGGAGGCAACUCUGAACCAGCCACGUCGCGUGAAGGAUGACGGCCCUACGGGUUGUAAACUUCUUUUGUAAGGGAAUAAAGUUAGUUACGUGUAACUAUUUGCAUGUACCUUACGAAUAAGGAUCGGCUAACUCCGUGCCAGCAGCCGCGGUAAUACGGAGGAUCCAAGCGUUAUCCGGAUUUAUUGGGUUUAAAGGGUGCGCAGGCGGGAGAUUAAGUCGGUGGUGAAAUUUUGCAGCUCAACUGUAAAAGUGCCAUUGAUACUGGUUUUCUUGAGUGUAGAUGAAGUAGGCGGAAUUUGUGGUGUAGCGGUGAAAUGCAUAGAUAUCACGAGGAACUCCGAUUGCGCAGGCAGCUUACUAAACUAUAACUGACGCUCAGGCACGAAGGCGUGGGGAUCAAACAGGAUUAGAUACCCUGGUAGUCCACGCAGUAAACUAUGAUUACUCGCUGUUUGCGAUACACAGCAAGCGGCUUAGCGAAAGCGUUAAGUAAUCCACCUGGGGAGUACGUUCGCAAGAAUGAAACUCAAAUGAAUUGACGG